AGGGUUCUACCGUAGUUUUUAAGUUUUUCCGGCUGCCGCUGGCUGACAGAAGAUUGUUGUCUCUUUCCUGGUGCAGUAAAGUGCUCAGAGAUGCCUGCAACAGCGGGGAUUGUGUGUGUGUGGAGACUUUCCAAGAAA